rnacentral:rRNA from 1 species
UAGUAACUGCGAGUGAAGCGGGAAAAGCUCAAAUUUAAAAUCUGGCGUCUUUGGCGUCCGAGUUGUAAUUUAGAGAAGUGUUACCCGUGUUGGACCGUGCACAAGUUCCCUGGAAUGGGACGUCAAAGAGGGUGAGAAUCCCGUAUUUGGCACGGACUACCAAUGCAUUGUGGUGCGCUCUCGAAGAGUCGAGUUGUUUGGGAAUGCAGCUCAAAAUGGGUGGUAAAUUCCAUCUAAAGCUAAAUAUUGGGGAGAGACCGAUAGCGAACAAGUACCGUGAGGGAAAGAUGAAAAGAACUUUGGAAAGAGAGUUAAACAGUACGUGAAAUUGCUGAAAGGGAAACGCUUGAAGUCAGUCGCGUUGUGCGGGAUUCAGCCUGGCUUUUGCUUGGUGUACUUCCUGUAUGACGGGUCAACAUCAAUUUUGACCGGUGGAUAAGGAUGUAGGGAAUGUGGCAUCUUCGGAUGUGUUAUAGCCUUAUGUCGCAUACAUCGGUUGGGAUUGAGGAACUCAGCACGCCGCAAGGCCGGGUUUUUAACCACGUUCGUGCUUAGGAUGUUGGCAUAAUGGCUUUAAUCGACCCGUCUUGAAACACGGACCAAGGAGUCUAACAUGCUUGCGAGUGUUUGGGGUG